rnacentral:rRNA from 1 species
AACGUAGGAGACAAACGUUAUCCGGAGUUACUGGGCGUAAAGGGCGUGUAGGUGGUUUCGUAAGUCUGGCGUGAAAUUUCUCGGCUUAACCGAGGCAGGUCGUCGGAUACUGCGGAACUUGAGGACGGUAGAGGCGUGUGGAAUUCCGGGUGUAGUGGUGAAAUGCGUAGAGAUCCGGAGGAACACCAGCGGCGAAGGCGACACGCUGGGCCGUACCUGACACUGAUGCGCGACAGCAUGGGGAGCAAACAGG